rnacentral:tRNA from 1 species
GCCCCCAUCGUCUAGUGGCCCAGGACAUCAGCUUCUCACGCUGGAAACAGGGGUUCGAUUCCCCUUGGGGGUA